UCCAAGGCCCUUUUCAGGGCCAAGGCAUUGAUUCAAGAUAAGAAUUU
rfam:Monodelphis domestica chromosome 3, whole genome shotgun sequence.